GAUGAAGAACGUAGUGAAAUGCGAUAAGUAAUGUGAAUUGCAGAAUUCAGUGAAUCAUCGAAUCUUUGAACGCACAUUGCGCCCGUCAGUAUUCUGGCGGGCAUGCCUGUUCGAGCGUCAUUACGCCCCUCAAGUCCCCUGUGGACUUGGUGUUGGGGAUCGGCGAGGCUGGUUUUCCAGCACAGCCGUCCCUUAAAUUAAUUGGCGGUCUCGCCGUGGCCCUCCUCUGCGCAGUAGUAAAACACUCGCAACAGGAGCCCGGCGCGGUCCACUGCCGUAAAACCCCCCAACUUUUUAUAGUUGACCUCGAAUCAGGUAGGACUACCCGCUGAACUUAAGCAUAACAAUAAGCGGAGGA
rnacentral:misc_RNA from 1 species